rnacentral:rRNA from 1 species
GAUCCUGGCUCGGGACGAACGCUGGCGGCGCGCCUAACACAUGCAAGUCGAACGAGAGAGAGGGAGCUUGCUUCCUCAAUCGAGUGGCGAACGGGUGAGUAACGCGUGAGGAACCUGCCUCAAAGAGGGGGACAACAGUUGGAAACGACUGCUAAUACCGCAUAAGCCCACAGGUCGGCAUCGACCAGAGGGAAAAGGAGCAAUCCGCUUUGAGAUGGCCUCGCGUCCGAUUAGCUAGUUGGUG